rnacentral:misc_RNA from 1 species
AACCAUAGAAACCUGCGGAGUACCUGCGGAAGGAUCAUUACAGAGUUGCAAAACUCCCACAAACCAUCGCGAAUCUUACCCGUACGGUUGCCUCGGCGCUGGCGGUCCGGAAGGCCCUCGGGCCCCCGGACCCUCGGGUCCCCCGCUCGCGGGGGGCUGCCCGCCGGAGUGCCGAAACCAAACUCUUGAUAUUUUAUGUCUCUCUGAGUAAACUCUUAAAUAAGUCAAAACUUUUAGCAA